CACACUGUGGAAACUGUCUCUGCUGUUAGAGCGGCAUAUAUGCUCUACAGGGACAUUGAUUCUUUUGGCAAUAAUCCUACAUUUGACGUGUUUGUUCACAAUUAUACUCACAGCAUGCUGUGGGUAUAUUUGUA